UACGAAGGGGGCUAGCGUUGUUCGGAUUUACUGGGCGUAAAGCGCACGUAGGCGGAUUGGUCAGUUAGGGGUGAAAUCCUGGAGCUCAACUCCAGAACUGCCUUUAAUACUGCCAGUCUCGAGUCCGGAAGAGGUAAGUGGAACUCCUAGUGUAGAGGUGGAAUUCGUAGAUAUUAGGAAGAACACCAGUGGCGAAGGCGGCUUACUGGUCCAUUACUGACGCUGAGGUGCGAAAGCGUGGGGAGCAAACAGG
rnacentral:rRNA from 1 species